rnacentral:rRNA from 1 species
GAUGAGCCUGCGCUCUAUUAGUUAGUUGGUGAGGUAACGGCUUACCAAGGCGAUGAUAGAUAGGCGGCCUUAACGGGUGGUCGCCCACACUGGGAUUGAGAUACGGCCCAGACUCCUACGGGAGGCAGCAGUCGAGAAUAGUCUACAAUGGACGAAAGUCUGAUAGUGCGACGCCGCGUGAACGAAGAAGCCCUUCGGGGUGUAAAGUUCUUUUAUAUGUGAGCAAUGCUUCUUAGGUGAAUAGUUUAAGGAGAGAGAUAUUAGCAUAUGAAUAAGCAACGGCUAACUCCGUGCCAGCAGCCGCGGUAACACGGGGGUUGCAAGCGUUGUCCGGAAUUACUAGGCGUAAAGGGCAGGUAGGCGGAUAGAUAAGUUUGAUGUUUAAGGCAGCGGCUCACCCGCUGUAAGGCAUCAGAUACUGUUUAUCUGGAAUACGGUUGGGGAAGACAGAAUUCCUGGUGUAGCGGUGGAAUGCGCAGAGAUCAGGAGGAAUACCGAAGGCGAAGGCAGUCUUCUAAGCCGUUAUUGACGCUAAACUGCGAAGGUGUGGGUAUCAAACAGGAUUAGAUACCCUGGUAGUCCACACAGUAAA